rnacentral:rRNA from 1 species
AUACGGAGGGUGCAAGCGUUACUCGGAAUCACUGGGCGUAAAGCGCGCGCAGGCGGCUUGAUAAGUCGGAUGUGAAAGCCUACGGCUCAACCGUAGAACUGCAUCCAAAACUGUCAAGCUAGAGUCUGGGAGGGGAAGAUGGAAUUAGUUGUGUAGGGGUAAAAUCCGUAGAGAUAACUAGGAAUACCAAAAGCGAAGGCGAUCUUCUGGAACAGUACUGACGCUGAGGCGCGAAAGCGUGGGGAGCAAACAGGAUUAGAAACCCUAGUAGUCC